rnacentral:misc_RNA from 1 species
GAACGCACCUUGCACCCUUUGGCAUUCCAAAGGGUAUGCCUGUUUGAGUAUCAUGAAAUUCUCAACUCCCCUCGGAUCCCAUCUGUAGGGUGAGCUUGGACUUGGAGGUUUCUGCUGGCGUUCGCCGGCUCCUCUUGAAAUCAUUAGCUUUGAGUUGAUCUCGAUGGCUCGACUGGUGUGAUAAACAUCUACUACGCCGAUUUGUGCCGUCCUGAGCGACGAACGUCGGAGACGCUCUGGCUUAUAACUGUCUUCACCAGAGGACGACGCCCUGAACUUUUGAUCUCAAAUCAGGUAGGACUACCCGCUGAACUUAAG